UGACAACCUUGCCAAAGAGUAGUUGACUGUAAGCAAAGCACUGACAAUAAAGCAAAAAUAGACAACAGGGAACUAAUCCAACUAAGAAGCUUCUGCCCAGCAAAUGAAAAAAAAAAAAAAGAAACCCAAUGAAGUGAAAAAGUAACUGAUGGAAAAGAAUAGAUACAUGUAGAGCUGAAUCACUUGGCUGUGCAUUCAAAGCAACACGCAAUGCAAAUGAACUAUAAUUAAAAAUGAAAAAAACUAGUAUGAAAUGAAAGGGAGAAAAGGUAAUGGAAAGGGAGAAAAUGACUGGAAACCACGAAUCUGAUAAGGGGUAAAGUAGCAAAAUAAUGAGGGCCUUGGACGACUCAAUGGCUAAAGGACGAAUAUCCUAAUUAUACAAUGGGCUAAAGAUUGAAUUUUUAUUUCUCUAAAGAAGCUUUACAAAUGGCCAGCAGCUAUAUGAAAAGAUGCGCAUCGUUAUUCUUUGGCCACACUGUGUAGCUUGCCUGAUCUUGGUUGCCCAACCAGGGAUUGAACUCUGACCCCGACAGUGAGAGCGCCCAGUCCUAACCACUGGACCCCCAGGGAAUUCCCAUACUCAUUAUGAAUCAUCUGGGAAAUGGAAAUCAAAAUCAUAAGACAUCGCUUUUACCUGUUAGCCUAGCUGUUACAUGUGUUAGAGGACACUCGUGUUGGUGAGCAUGUGGAAGGCCUGGAACUCCUGACCACUCUUGCUGAGAACACACUUUGGUGCCACCACUAUGGAAACAGCAGGAGAGUUCCUCAAGAAUUACCAAUAGUUCUGCCAUAUGAUCCAUGUGGCUCUUCAGCUGAGCAGCUAUUUCCCAGUUCAAUUAAUCUGCUAGUGACUGUGGCUUUAUGUAUAAUUCUGAAGCACCCUCAGAAAACAAUACAAGUGGGCCACCCACAUGGUAAUUACAUGUGAUUCCAAGGUGUCCUCUCUGCAUGAAGAGAUACCUGUGCUAAAGAUGACACAGUGGUAACAAAACCCCAUUUGGGGUAAAAUCCCAUUUUCAGAAAGACUCAACAUAGACAUGGAAAUUGAGACAGAAAAGAAAAGGUCCCAAAUUUUCGAGACACUUUGGGAUUCUUCCUCUUU